rnacentral:rRNA from 1 species
AACGAACGCUGGCGGCAGGCUUAACACAUGCAAGUCGAACGAUGUAGCAAUACAUAGUGGCGCACGGGUGAGUAACGCGUGGGAAUAUACCUUAUAGUGGGGAAUAACGUUGGGAAACUAACGCUAAUACCGCAUACGCCCGAGAGGGGAAAGAUUUAUCGCUAUAAGAUUAGCCCGCGUGAGAUUAGGUAGUUGGUGGGGUAAUGGCCUACCAAGCCUACGAUCUCUAGCUGGUCUGAGAGGAUGAUCAGCCACACUGGAACUGAGACACGGUCCAGACUCCUACGGGAGGCAGCAGUGGGGAAUAUUGGGCAAUGGAGGAAACUCUGACCCAGCCAUGCCGCGUGAAUGAUGAAGGCCUUAGGGUUGUAAAGUUCUUUCGCCGAUGAAGAUAAUGACGGUAGUCGGAGAAGAAGCCCCGGCUAACUUCGUGCCAGCCGCCGCGGUAA